CCUACGGGAGGCAGCAGUGGGGAAUAUUGGGCAAUGGGCGCAAGCCUUACCCAGCAAUACCGCGUGAGUGAAGAAGGUCUUCGGAUUGUAAAGCUCUUUGAUCAGGGACGAACAGAUGACGGUACCUGAAGAACCAGCCCCGGCUAACUACGUGCCAGCAGCCGCGGUAAAACGUAGGGGGCGAGCGUUGUCCGGAAUGACUGGGUGUAAAGGGUGCGUAGACGGAGAAGCAAGUUAGUUGUGAAAUCCCUCGGCUUAACUGAGGAACUGCAACUAAAACUACUUCCCUUGAGUACUGGAGAGGAAAGUGGAAUUCCUAGUGUAGCGGUGAAAUGCGUAGAUAUUAGGAGGAACGCCAGUGGCGAAGGCGACUUUCUGGACAGUAACUGACGUUGAGGCACGAAAGUGUGGGGAGCAAACAGGAUUAGAUACCCCAGUAGUC
rnacentral:rRNA from 1 species